CUGGAGUCCAUUUUGGAUCCACUCUAGACUUUGUUGAUUUCUCGUAAUCGUUCAAGUAGAAGAGUUUGAUCCUGGCUCAGACUUGAAACGCCUGGCCGGACGUGCCCUAACACAUGCAAGUCGAGCGGUAACAGGUGUAGCAAUACAUCGCUGACGAGCGGCGAACGGGUGAGUAAUGCUUCGGAAUCUACCCACGGGUGGGAAUAACCAACCCGUAAAGGU
rnacentral:rRNA from 1 species